AGUCUGUCAUCAAUUGGGUGAAAUUCUAUGUACGCAGAUCUGCUUUGGAAAUAUUUAGGAAAUACUUCUUAAACUGAAAAACACCAAAAAGCCGCUGUUGUAAGUUGCUGUGUGCAACAAGCAAGAAGCUUGUUCUAGGAGAAAGAUCAGUGUGUACAGGACAAGAUUUGUUCAUGCAAGUAAUAGCUUUUUUCAGACCAACUGGCAUAGCCAGAAAAGUAGAUUAAUUUUUUGGUUAAACAGUUACUUGUUUGGUUCUGAAGCAGCAACUACUGCUAUUUGCAACUUGAGAACAACUGCUUAGAGCUUAGAUGGGGAUGUAUCAGUGAGACAAGCUCAGAUUGAAAAAGUGGAAAUGGGAAUGGAUGGGGUAUUGUGGGGGAAAGAAUGAGGGCUGAGAGCUGUUAAGUUCAGGGAAGUUCCUCGGGCUUGCUGGUUUUAAUUGCUUAAUGAUUUUUCACAUAACAGAAAAUCCUGUGUGGAAAGAAUCUUCCCAGAAGCACUUGUCCUACAUUUCAAGCACCCCAAACCACAAAAGUCAUCAUUAGAAAUGUAAUUCUCUGUGGUCCAAAACACGGGAUGAGUUUAAAUCCUGCCUGAGCAAGAAACGUUCAGAUGUGAUGAUGCCCAUCCACUACUCCAGGAAUGAACACCCCCUGCCAUCAAACCACCAGCAUCUCUGGUCGUAUAUCAGCAGUUCCAGGACUGUAACAUACUUCAUCCUGUGCAUGGCUGCUUUGUUGCUGGUAGCUUUGUUGCUGAAAACUACCACUCAGGUCUUUAUAGACCACAACACUGUCAGUGAUGUAGUUUCUCAGAAGACAGAAUCUUUGAGUCCUGAUCCUUAAGGGAAGCUACAGAACUUGCUCCACAAAAGUGGGCAUGGGAACUAGGUUUCCUAACUCUGCCCACCACCCAAAACUAUGACUCAGUAGAGAUGCUGGUCUGACAGUAAAUUAUAAUUGCCUUCUUCCAUCGCCCUGCUUACCUCUCUCAGAAUCAACAGACUGUAAGGUAUCCACCGUGGGUGACAGUGGGAGAGAGGAGGCUGGACUGGAUGUCACAUUUGCUUGGAAGUAAAGCAAGAAAAUCAGCAAAGCAGUCAGAAGUGGGAUAGCUGGAGGAAGAGACAGUGUGAUGGCCAAGCUGUUGCACAUUGCCAGUACAAGCACCAGCAAAGCAGCUAAAACCCAGAUGUACCGGAACACAAGGAGGCAGCAGAUGGCAUGAAGUCCAAUUCCAUCUUCAGGCAUUCAUACAACAGCAGAAACCCCCAUUACUGCACCAGCUGCUGCACGGAUGUACCCAAGGGCAAACCGGGGACCUAAGACAAUACAGUACACAGGAAUGACAGCGUUGCACAUCACCUCCUGGGUCGCAGGCAAGUGCCUUCAAAUGUGUGGAAACCC